rnacentral:lncRNA from 1 species
UCAUUCUAUAUCAAUUCUAAGUAUUGAGUUGUUGGUGAAGUUUUUAGUUGCAACUAUUAGACACAACUUAAAAAUGGAAAAUUAAAAUGAAGAAUACAACCACUUGAUUAUGCAAUUCAAAUAUAAUUCUUUGGGUUGUGGGGCUUUUUACCUAGAGAAUAAUCCACUAUAAUGUCAUUAGUACAAGAGAUGAUUUAAGCUUAAUUUCACUCAAAUUCGUUGCAACCUCACUCCCGUGCAAUUAUAAUGAUAAAACUAUUUGAAUACAUCACAAAAUCACUCACUAAUGUUCCUUACAAUGAAGAUGUCGAGUUUUUUCCAAUUUGCACCAGAGGCAUAUCCAUGGGGGAUGGCAGGGCCUCGACCCCCUAAAAUAUUGGAAAAGUUUACAUUUAGGUCAUUUAUAAUUUAUAAAAUUUUAAAUUAGUAAUAGAAAAAUUACACUUUGGUCCCCUCUAAAAUGAUAAAAUUUUGAUUUAAUCUUCUAAAAAUUAUAAAGAUAUAGAUUAUUAAAAUGAUAAAAUUACAUUUUUACUAUUAUAAAAAUAUACAAUCAAAUUCUGCCAAAAAAAUUCUAACUUCACCCUUGAUCUACAUCGAAAUCCGUAAAUGUGUUUUUCAGGCGUCUCAAUCUUCAUGAAUUAAGCUAGUAUGAUAAGAACAAAAUCUAAAGAGUUCUGGUUCAUAUCAAUCACCUUAAAUGUCUGCUUGAGAUAAGCAAAAAACACCUUUGAUCGUGUAUCUCUUAAAUAUGAAAAUAAUCACAUUUUGGCUUAGUUUGGAUGGGCAGUGUGUUUACCUCCGGUGAGAUUAAAGACAGCAGUGGUGGUGAGAUUGAAUACUGUAGUGAUGAGAUUAAAAACAACGGUGGGGUGUGUGUUUGAAUUUAAACGUAAUUGUAGCAGUGAGGUAAGAAUAGAAAAUGACUAUUAAGAACAUUAGAUUAAAAAUAAUAUAUAAUAGAAGUUUUUUAAAUUGUUUUACUUUUACGAAAUUAUUAAAAAUACGUGAAUUUAUAAAAUUAUUUAAUAAAAUAUUAAAAUGUAUCUUCCGAUCUUUUAUUAUAUAAAAUGGGAAUUUUAACAUUUUAAAAUCAAAAUAAUUAAAAUUUUAAAAUUAAAAUAAACAACCUAAAAGUAGUUAAUUUAAGGAAUGAUAAAUUAAAAUUUCUUUUGAUAAUAACGUAUAUUAGUUUGUUAUAAAAUAAUGGGAAAAAAUGUUUAUUAUUUUAAAUUAAUAAAAUUAUCUUACAAUUGAAAAUACAAAAUUAUAUUAUUGAAGUUGAAGGUAAAAUGAAGAAAGAGAAAAAAAAAAAAGAGAACGGAGAAAAAAUAGGAGAAAGAAUGUAAAAGGAAAAAUGACCACCAAUGAGAUGUUGGAACAUUUGACUGAAGCAUAAAGCUCUAUUGGAGAAACUGGUGCCCAGUGUGUUGAGUAAUACUCCAAUGGUUCUGUUCUUUACAAUCCAAAGGAAUAGGUACGAUGCGAUUCAACCAAAAAGUACUCCAAACGUAAUGAAAUAAGAUCAAACGGGCAACUAAAGGAAGCCAAAUCACUUCAAAUUUUUUCUUGAUGAAAUAUCUUCUCCAACUAUACUACUAUGUUCACUACACAAAAUCCUUUAAAUAAUUAAACAAAAAUAAUCAAAAGAUGGCAAUAAAAAUUAACAAAUCUAAGCAUCUCAAUUGCUAAUCUAAGUUGCAACUUGCUGUAUCAGCCAUAAUAAAAAUAUAGCUGUCUGCAGUAGCAAAUUCACCUUCUAAUCUUUUAAAUUAAAAAACAAAAAGCCGCUGCCACUGAUUUAUUCGUUUCUUUCUUCACUUUUGAUUCACUGCCUGGAUUAAUAUCCAAUGAUUAGUUUUUAGGUUUAAAAAGGAUAAACAAUUAAAAUAUAACAAAACCAUACAAAUACAUAAUAAAUUUUAAAUUCAUAAUUAAAAUAUUAAAAUAUUAAAAGUGUAUAAAAUCAUUUUAAUUUUUACACUAUCCCUUCUCAUAUAAAAAUAAUAUAAGUACAUAAAUAUUUUUAAAAUUUAGAUAAUACAAUAUAUUAAUGUACAACAAUUUAUAUAUAAAAAAUACUUUUAAAAUGUUUAUGACGCUAUAGAAACAAAUAAAAUAAAAUAAAAUUGCAAAAUGAAAACCGAAACAAAAAAAAAAAUGUAUUUGAUAUUUAACCCAGCCAGUGAAUCUAAAAAGAAGAAAGCAAAGAAGCUGCUUUCAAAUUUCUAAGGAGGAAAUUCGCAAUGCCUUCC